ACACGUGGUAUCCUGUCUGAAUAUGGGGGGACCAUCCUCCAAGGCUAAAUACUCCUGACUGACCGAUAGUGAACCAGUACCGUGAGGGAAAGGCGAAAAAGAACCCCGGCGAGGGGAGUGAAAAAGAACCUGAAACCGUGUACGUACAAGCAGUGGGAGCACGCUUAGGCGUGUGACUGCGUACCUUUUGUAUAAUGGGUCAGCGACUUAUAUUCUGUA
rnacentral:rRNA from 1 species